ACUGAAUCCAGGAAAGUUCAGAUUGCCUGUGGAAGAGAGAAGGGAUCUUGAUCUAUGUUCCCUAGAUGGAUUUCACAACUAAGUUAAUCAGUAAAAAGUGAAGAAUGCACCAAAGACCAGCACAAGCCUUCUGCACCCUCAACAUGGGUCUUGAGACGGUCUUCUUAACACACAGGAAACAGAAGAAAGAACCUGAAACCAAACCUGCUUGUAUCUGUUAUCACUGUAUAUCAAUGCCAGCAUGAGUUCACUUGUUACUUGAAAGCAGCACUGCAAGAAAACUAUGCUCAAUCCUUAAACAUGUGGUCCCUGGAGGAGGGAACAUGCCAGACAGUGAUGGGAGAUAUUUACUACUCAUCCCAAAAGACAAACUCUCUGAUUCUGGUCGGUAAAUUCCUUUUUCAAUACUUAAAGAAUUAAUAAUUUUGAUUUACAUCAUAUAUUUAACUAUACUUGUCUUUUAUUUAUGUUCUUUAUUUAUGUUCGUCAUUUUAAAUAUUUUCUGCCACGUGUUGAACUCACCUAAGUUGAGGGCUGUAGGUGUUUUCUCUGUUUGGUAAUGCUUGCUUGUACUAGCUGUGUGUAAGACUGUUGCAAAUAAUAAAUGAAUAAGAA